rnacentral:lncRNA from 1 species
ACUGUCAUGAUCUCACGGCCGGCAGCCUGGAGCCCCUCACCAGGUGCCCUGAGCUGCAGUAUCUCACCCUGUCCGGCGGCGUCCCUGACACCGUGAGCCUGGAGACCCUCACCAGGUGCCCUAGGCUGUAUAUUCUCACCCUGUCCGGCGGCGUCCCUGACGCCGUGCUGGACAUUCUCAGCGGCUGCCCCGGGCUGUUGAGCCUUACACUGGGGGACCGCCAGCGGCCGGCAGAGACGGCCUUCACAGCAGCAGCGUACACCAGACUGGUGAAGUCGUGUCGGAAGCUGAUUGGGCUGUACCUUCACUGCACGGCAGACACCGGCCGGGCCGUGCUGACCGCCCUGAAGGAGGCGGACCUGGGCCGGCGCAGUGAUGGCCGGCCCCGUACCAUCCAUCUCGGUGUCCCCGGGGAGCUGUUCCGUCAGCUGAAGAGCCAGGAAGGCGAUGGGGUCACAGUGUGGAAGUGGUGGGAUUGAUGCGCUGCACUACCGACCGUGCAGUGAUGAGCGGACUGCAGAGAGGCCGAGCCAGUCGGCCGGGGCCGCCAGCUGACUGCUGCCGUGUGUGCUGCACCAGCCGGCACUGAGAGCGGCGCCGGUCAGCCGGCACACGGCCCCCGUGUCCGCUGUAGUGUAGUCAUGUAGUUGUAGUGGUUGUAGUGUAGAUGUAGUAGUAGCACACGGAUGUGAUGUACUGGGUAAUUACCCGGCGGGUAUUGUGGGUAAUUGGACAGUGAAAAGUGAUGUGAUUGAGUGUAGAAACUGAUCACGACAUUGCGAUAUUUUGUAUAUAGAACCCACAUCUUAGCUUAGCUGUAUAAAUGGGGGCACUCCCGGACCGUCCAACUCGGUUCUCCGCGCCUGGUCCCGGCGGCACGGCCUCAGUCACGUGACCGCCGUGCCGGGUCGGCCGGCUCGGUCACGUGACCGCCGUGCCGGCUCGGCCGGCUCGGUCACGUGACCGCCGUGCCGGCUCGGCUCGGCGGACAGUCGGACGGGGACGCUGUCUCACCGGCACCGAGGUGCACAGUAGUGAUGUCAAUUACAGAAAAUCAGAAUACCGAUACCUAACCAAAUACCAACCGAAAAUCCCGGGAAAAUACCGAAACCAAACCAACUUGGGAAAAUGAGGGAAAUACCAACUUUUUACUGAUUUAUUAGCCUCUUAUACAUUAGCGAGGGUUUAUGAUACCGUAAAGUGGGGCUAUUUGAGACAGUAAAGUAGUGGUUUAGUAAAAUCGCUGUAAAAUGAAAACCGUUCGAUAUUUUUUCGUCAUUUUUGCUUAGGCUGAUGUGGAAUUGAACAGUGAAUGACCUGAAUAACCUUUUUGAAAAAUUUCGAAAAGUUUUGAAAGAAAUUUGGUCUAAAAUACGAAAUACAGAAAAACGCACAAUUUAAGUUGCUCGAAAAGGACCCCCACCUGCCGCUUAACAUAGUUCAAAUUUUAACAGCUUCGGCACUGCAUCUAUCGUUACUACCGUUUUACUUAUAGGCUAAGCAUAUUUUUCAUGAAAAUAUUAUACAUUGUUAACGUUACUGCCGAUUGCGUAACCCAUUGUCUCAGAAUCCCGAUGAUGCCCACCUGGUCAAACCUCAACCGAUAUGCCAAAUAGCUACUGAUAAUGGUGAUGCGAUUGCACCCGAGAAGACUUACCACCAUCUACUUGAAGUGCAUCGAACGUUCGACAUGAGUAACACCGAUGGAUUGGUCGUGGUCAUAAACAUGCAGUGGGUUCAUGGUAUUUAGCAGGAAGCAAUAUUUACAUGUUCGUAGUGUAACAUAAUGACCCUUUAGCUGGUGACCAAACUAGUUAUUCUGAUGAAUAUGUGCUUAAAAUGUGCUUCAUCAGUCACUUACUUAGUCGACAAUAACACAUGUCUACCUUGGUUGACCAAAAAACACCAUUGAAGAUUACUUAACACAUGAACGUACUGUUAGGUGAGCCUAUGCAAGUAGGCGAUGUGGUAGGGUUACCGGCCAAUUGAUACAGCAUGCAGCGAUCGAGGAAAAUCGUCAUAAAAUCAAAACCGCUUAACAUUUUUAUGUUAUUUCUUCGCAUGAAGAUGUGCAAUGGAACAAGGAAUCAUGCAGACUAUUCACUUAAAUGUUUUGGGAAACCUUUUAGCUCGUUUGAUUCAUUACGGUGUGCUUCAUUAGGUAGCGAGCCUGUCUCAAAUAGCCCCACCGACUUUCAGUAUGUCUGUUUUCACGCCACCAGGGCUAUAUACAAAAACUUUCUUUCAAAAUUUUACUGUUGUUGUCUUUAGAAUAGUCCUUGAUGAUCAUUCUGCAAAUUGGAAAGUUUAGGGUCACAUCAUAUUAUGACAGCCUUAGCAUAUAGUGAUGCAAUUUUAUAACCUACCGAAAUGAAGCAUCCUACGAAAAAGGAAAAGAUUGAAUAUAAAGGAAAUGUAACUGUCUUUGCAAAAACAAUUUUUGCUAGAAUGAUCAAAAUUUAAUUUCCAAUCACAUGGCAUUUAAAAAAUUAUCUCUAGUGUGACCGAUUUUCUUCAAUUUCUUCGUAACUAAAACUGUCUCAAAUAGCCCCACCCUAUGGGGCUAUUUGAGACAGGAUCUAACUAAAAAAAUAUCCUUAACCAUUAUUACUAGCUGAACCAAAAUGCACCUAUAUGAAAGAGCUUACGGAGAACUACAUUUUUGCAAUUUACAUGCUAUAAGAAAUAUGAACCGUCUUAAAGGGAGAGGCCAAAAACUGUAAAAUCCGUUUCAAAUAGCCCCACUUUACGGUACCAACAAAAUACCAAACACAUUAGGAUUGAAAUACCAAGUACCAAGUUGGUAUCGGUUUGGUAUCGGUAUACCAAACGUUGGUAUCCGAUUGACAUCUCUAGUGCACAGCGCGCCAUGUUGAGUGCUCUGGAUGCGUGUUGUGACACUCACACGGACAGGUAUAUAUCAAUACACUACUGGAUAGGCCGUCCGAGCUGUAUAGGCGGUGUCAGCUGAGACGGCGGCUCACAGCCGCGCCCGCCCGCCCGCUCCGGCAAGUGGGUGUCUGUUCUACUCUCUGUCUUCUAUACAUACACGAGAGGAGUUGCUUGAGCUGUAUCAUAUAUGUAGCCUUCAAUAAACCAAUGAGCA